GGUAGUCCACGCCGUAAACGAUGUCGACUUGGAGGUUGUGCCCUUGAGGCGUGGCUUCCGGAGCUAACGCGUUAAGUCGACCGCCUGGGGAGUACGGCCGCAAGGUUAAAACUCAAAUGAAUUGACGGGGGCCCGCACAAGCGGUGGAGCAUGUGGUUUAAUUCGAUGCAACGCGAAGAACCUUACCUACUCUUGACAUCCAGAGAACUUAGCAGAGAUGCUUUGGUGCCUUCGGGAACUCUGAGACAGGUGCUGCAUGGCUGUCGUCAGCUCGUGUUGUGAAAUGUUGGGUUAAGUCCCGCAACGAGCGCAACCCUUAUCCUUUGUUGCCAGCGGUUAGGCCGGGAACUCAAAGGAGACUGCCAGUGAUAAACUGGAGGAAGGUGGGGAUGACGUCAAGUCAUCAUGGCCCUUACGAGUAGGGCUACACACGUGCUACAAUGGCGCAUACAAAGAGAAGCGACCUCGCGAGAGCAAGCGGACCUCAUAAAGUGCGUCGUAGUCCGGAUUGGAGUCUGCAACUCGACUCCAUGAAGUCGGAAUCGCUAGUAAUCGUAGAUCAGAAUGCUACGGUGAAUACGUUCCCGGGCCUUGUACACACCGUCCGUCACACCAUGGGAGUGGGUUGCAAAAGAAGUAGGUAGCUUAACCUUCGGGAGGGCGCUUACCACUUUGUGAUUCAUGACUGGGGUGAAGUCGUAACAAGGUAACCGUAGGGGAACCUGC
rnacentral:rRNA from 1 species